GUCAUUUCCUGGACUUCCUUUGUGUGAUAGCUCAGUUUUGGAGAGACUUCACUGCGCACAAACAGGGAAAACAGGAUAUUUUGGGUGAUAUCGGUGUGGAUCAAACAACCGUGAGAGACACAAACUUCACAGAGUGACAUCUGAGGGGGAGGUAUCAUUUGUACAGAUGCGAGGCCAUCAGCAUUUGACAGCUUAGGCGUUGCAGUUUUUAUAAGCAUAUCACUCCCUUGUCCAUGGCAAGUGACAUGGGAGCAGCACUGGGAAAUUGAUUACACAACACACCUCCAACACCUAGUACAAAGGACGCUACCCAUGGCAAGUUUCUCGAAACAGGAUCUGUUCUUGACAAACCACGCAGCGGAAGGUCUGCAACUACCAUCACUGAUGAAAAUUCCGAACUCUUAAGAGCGGGCGUUCCCACAAAGCCAGGAAAAGUCUUUCUGGAAGACUGCACUGGAACUCGGCAUCCACAAAACCUCGAUUUAGCGGUUGCUUCUGAGAGUGAUAAAGUGCUGCUAUUCUCCACUUUCUGCUGUAAAACCAGAAUUUCUCCAAAAAAAGGCUUACUCUAUUUUAUUCCAUACUACUGUAAUUAAUUAAAAGCAACAGAUAGCUUUACUGUAGCAUUUGAGCACUAGAAGGACAUUACAAAAGCAUAUCAACCUUCAUUUUUCAAUACCAAACACGAUUAUAAGACUCUCCAGUGUAGUAAAAAGAUUUUUGGGGAUUAUGUUCUAUUUUACGUAAGCCUC